CUUGCUCCUAGAAGUGUUGGAGGCAUGGCUACUGUGUUAAAUGUGCAUCAGAAGGUGGUAGAGAGGAGAGAGGCCAUGUCCACACUCAGUGGUCUGACCUAUGAACAUCUGAAUGAUUAGUAGCCUAACACU